CUUGAAGAACUCCCAGAAGCAGGAGCCUGCUGAGAAAGAAGUCUAAGAUUAUCAACUUUGUACUACUGGCACAUCUUGUCCUUCUUGUUUGCCAUUCAGGAGGUCAACCAAGACCCAUGGCUCUUGCCCAACAUCUCCCUGGGCUACAGCAUCUAUGAUACCUAUUUUGAUGGAAGAAUUACUUCGGAUGCCAUGAUAGACCUCCUAUCUGGGAGUGGAAACAAUAUUCCAUAUAGGAACUGCAGGCAAAAGAAUAAGUUCCUGGCUAUUCUGGAAGCAGCUGAAUCAGACAUCUCCAGCCAAAUUUCAUCCUUCUCCGGCAUCUACAAGCUCCCACAGGUAUGCCAAGGGCAGGCAGGGGAGUGUUGGAGGAAAGAACUGGACCUGAUUCCGUUUUGCUGUUACUCUGGUGAAAUCAGAAAAAGACACAGGUCCUCAAGAAGUGAGGUCAAAGGAGAAAGUGAUUGGAAUGUGUAUUUGGUUAUAUGCAUUUGAUAAAGUACAAAGCUUCA